rnacentral:rRNA from 1 species
GAUGAACGCUGACAGAAUGCUUAACACAUGCAAGUCAACUUGAACUUCGGUUUGGGUGGCGGACGGGUGAGUAACGCGUAAAGAACUUGCCUCACAGUUAGGGACAACAUUUGGAAACGAAUGCUAAUACCUGAUAUUAUGAUUUUAAGGCAUCCUAGAAUUAUGAAAGCUAUAUGCACUGUGAGAGAGCUUUGCGUCCCAUUAGCUAGUUGGAGAGGUAACAGCUCACCAAGGCAAUGAUGGGUAGCCGGCCUGAGAGGGUGAUCGGCCACAAGGGGACUGAGACACGGCCCUUACUCCUACGGGAGGCAGCAGUGGGGAAUAUUGGACAAUGGACCAAGAGUCUGAUCCAGCAAUUCUGUGUGCACGAUGAAGUUUUUCGGAAUGUAAAGUGCUUUCAGUUGGGAAGAAAAAAAUGACGGUACCAACAGAAGAAGUGACGGCUAAAUACGUGCCAGCAGCCGCGGUAAUACGUAUGUCACAAGCGUUAUCCGGAUUUAUUGGGCGUAAAGCGUGUCUAGGUGGUUAUGUAAGUCUGAUGUGAAAAUGCAGGGCUCAACUCUGUAUUGCGUUGGAAACUGUGUAACUAGAGUACUGGAGAGGUAAGCGGAACUACAAGUGUAGAGGUGAAAUUCGUAGAUAUUUGUAGGAAUGCCGAUGGGGAAGCCAGCUUACUGGACAGAUACUGACGCUGAAGCGCGAAAGCGUGGGUAGCAAACAGG